rnacentral:snRNA from 1 species
GUGCUCGCCUCGACAGCACAUAUACUAAAAUUGGAACGAUACAGAGAAGAUUAGCAUGGCCCC